CCCCGAGCCCUUCCUGGUGCCCUCCUCCCCCUCCCCCCAGCAUCUCAGAAACCAAAGGAAGGGGACAGGGUGCUGCCCACAUGCUUGUUUUUCUCUGGGAGGCGGCAUAAGCGUCUGGAGCUUGCUGAGUAGUUGAAGAGAGUGGGUAGUUGUUCCUGAGAACCUGGUAAAAGCACAGACCCAGCGCUGUGCUUGCUGACAUCAGGGGAAGUUACUCACAUGGUGUGAUGGAUAAAAAGUUACAGUUAUUCAUCCGGGACUCAAAUGAAGGUCUUGUUUCCUUCCUUCCUUCCUUUCCUCCCUCCUUCUUUCCUUUUAAAUAAAGGAACAAGCACCAACUCUGAAGAAGAAUGCCAGCUUGCCUCUACCCUGCUCCUUAUCUGUGGCCCCAACCUGAAAAAAACACUUUCUGUUCCUUCUCCCAGGGGGGCACAGUCUCUGAGGCGUUUGCCUGCUGUGACCUCCUGUGCCUGGCAAAGCAAUAAAGCUGUUCUUUCCUGCUUCGCCCCAAAUUCUGUCCCUGCCUUUCUGUUUUUUUCCAUUCGGCACCCAGGCCAAGCUUCUGCGACAAGAAGUUUCCAUUUGUUGGCCUGGCCAGUUAAUCCCCUUGCGAAGAAGCUGCCGAAAGAGCACAGAGAAUUCCUGUAUGGCCGUCUCGCCCUUGUUCUCAACGUUAACGUUUGUGGUUAUCGUUCAUUCCUUCUGCUCCUCGUGCUCAAAACUUUUCCACCAGUACUGUGAAUCGUGUUUUAAGUAGCUCCUUCUGAGAUUACUCCCCCUGAGGAUAGGGAAAACCGUAAAUUAAGGUCGGUUGUAAUUUGUGUUUUAUUUCCUCAGCAGUUGCCUGGCCACCUGAUUUGGCCUCGAAUUCCCGAAACUGGCCUGGCUGUCGUAGUGAUGGCAGUGACUCCCCUGGGAAACGAGUCGGCGCCCCAGGGGAGCGUGCCGGAGCCUCAGACCGGCAGGGCGUGCUUCCACUUCAGGUCAACCAGAUAUACGAGGAGCUGUUUCAGAUACACCAGAAACUGCAGGACAUUAAAUGGAGCUCCCUGUGCUUUACAGCACAGCCCAGCCCUGUUGUUUACUAGCAUGCAUCGGCUCAGCCCAAACGCACCCGCCCCCCAGAGCAACAAGUCUGUUCUCUAUGCGGAAGAGGGUUUUAUAGAGACGGAGAAGACUCCUGAGUACUGGGACUGUGCCACUUGUCUGUGGAUCGUCACUUGGUUGUGAACACAUCUCUGUUUUUUCGUUUGGUGUAGCUAAAAAGCUAUUGUUUUUCGUUGGUAGUUUUCUUAAUUUGGGCAACAUUUCUUCCCUUCCUGCUGUUUUCAAUCUAUUCUGUGAUACUGUUAUGUUUCUAUCAUGAAAGAGAUGAAAUCAAGGAUGACUUCACUUAAACGUGAUGUUCCUGACAAAGCAGUGGCCCCCGAGGCACAUGCCCACGUUUUUAGUCACGGAUCCUGCAGCUGUACCUCUCUAUAAGGGAACACAGCGGGGGCGGGGGGAGUUUUAAUAACUGAAGAAGGUGAUACCGUUUUCUUUAACUUCUUUACAACUCCUCAGCCCUUGUACUUCCACCCUAAUGUGACGUUCACAGUCUGCAUACAGCCUUAUGUAUGUAUGUAGGCGUGUUUCACAGUUGUAGUCAUGAUGUGCUCACUUUUUGGUUUCCUAAGUAUUAUAUAUUCAUUGUAGAAAAGUUAGGAAAUAGAUUUAUUUCACUUGGCAAAUACCAAUCUCUGGACACAGGGAUGUAGCAGCACACAGGACAAGUGCGACCUCUGCACGGAGCUUUUGUCUUCUUGGUGUUUGGAGAUGACGACAUCACUGGCAGGUGGAGGGAGUGGCCGUGCAUCUUCAGGCAGCAGAAGCCCUGAGCAUAUGGAAGCUCCCAGGCCAGGGAUCGAACCCACACCACGAGGGAACUUGAUUGACCACCUUACUCAAUGGCAUUAUAGAAUGCCAGUGCAGGAAUCUGCUCUGAUGGUCUCAGCUGGUUGUUAAAAAUUGCUCUUCAUCUUACAUACUGUUUGUGGUGAAGCUGAUCUGACAGAAAUGAAAACUAGAGGCUCUGGGAUUAACCUGAUCUCAGGUUGCUGUGGGCAAUCAACCCAAAACCAUGAGAUGCAACUGAGAUCUGGAGACUACCAACCUCCAUGGAAAAGACUUUAGACUGACAAUAGUAAAGGUGAUUCAAGAUCAUGGAAAUAAGCUGGAGGCACAGAUAGAUAAAUUACAAGAAACAAAGAGCAAAGAAAUUGAAGAUUUAAGGAUUAAGCAAGCAGAGAUGCAAAAUACAAUAACUGAAAUAAAAAAUUCACUAGAAG